UACGUAGGUGGCAAGCGUUGUCCGGAUUUACUGGGCGUAAAGAGCGCGCAGGCGGUCGUACAAGUCGCGUGUGAAAGCCCCCGGCUCAACUGGGGAGGGUCACGCGAUACUGUUCGACUCGAAGGCAGGAGAGGGAAGCGGAAUUCCCGGUGUAGUGGUGAAAUGCGUAGAUAUCGGGAGGAACACCUGUGGCGAAAGCGGCGCACUGGACCACAACUGACGCUGAGGCGCGAAAGCUAGGGGAGCAAACAGG
rnacentral:rRNA from 1 species